GAUGAACGCUGGCGGCGUGCCUAAUACAUGCAAGUCGAGCGAACAGAUGAGGAGCUUGCUCCUCUGACGUUAGCGGCGGACGGGUGAGUAACACGUGGAUAACCUACCUAUAAGACUGGGAUAACUUCGGGAAACCGGAGCUAAUACCGGAUAAUAUAUUGAACCGCAUGGUUCAAUAGUGAAAGACGGUCUUGCUGUCACUUAUAGAUGGAUCCGCGCCGCAUUAGCUAGUUGGUAAGGUAACGGCUUACCAAGGCGACGAUGCAUAGCCGACCUGAGAGGGUGAUCGGCCACACUGGAACUGAGACACGGUCCAGACUCCUACGGGAGGCAGCAGUAGGGAAUCUUCCGCAAUGGGCGAAAGCCUGACGGAGCAACGCCGCGUGAGUGAUGAAGGUCUUCGGAUCGUAAAACUCUGUUAUUAGGGAAGAACAAAUGUGUAAGUAACUAUGCACGUCUUGACGGUACCUAAUCAGAAAGCCACGGCUAACUACGUG
rnacentral:rRNA from 1 species